UGAUUGAUUUAUGUUUUAAACGGGUUCAUAUUUGUUUUCAGUAGUUAGAAUAUUUUGUUUUUAGUUUGUUUAGUUCACACUGUGAAAUAUGUUUUAUUUUGUAUAAGAUGCAUUUAUUCUGUCAUGAAGGACUAUUUUGGUUGUACUGUUAUCGCGAGAUUUAUGUGAACGGAAGAGAGUGGCGAGAUCUUUUGUGCUCGACACACACACAUUUACCUGAAGCCACAUGCAGUUACCUGAGGACACGAGAGGCGUGCAGCAGCCUCGAUAGUUCGCUAACUGUAAAGAAUGUACAAGAUGAGAAACAUUCGCUUAGGACUUCUUUCAUGACGAGCGGCCAUGAGUUUUCACGGCAUUCAUUAAAGCGCCCGUUUCAAAUAAAGA